UACGUAGGUGACAAGCGUUGUCCGGAUUUACUGGGCGUAAAGAGCGCGCAGGCGGUCGUUCAAGUCGAGUGUGAAAGCCCCCGGCUCAACUGGGGAGGGUCACUCGAUACUGAUCGACUCGAAGGCAGGAGAGGGUAGUGGAAUUCCCGGUGUAGUGGUGAAAUGCGCAGAUAUCAGGAGGAACACCGAUGGCGAAGGCAGCUCGCUGGGACGGUACUGACGCUGAGGCGCGAAAGCGUGGGGAGCGAACAGG
rnacentral:rRNA from 1 species